GAUGAACGCUGGCGGCGUGCCUAAUACAUGCAAGUCGAGCGAACAGACCCGGACCUUGCUCCUCUGACGUUAGCCGCACGCGGGUGAAUCACGCGUGGGUUCCCUCCCUCUCAGCCUGGGAUACCUUCGGGACACCGGCGCUUACCCCGGAUAACCUGUUCAACCGCAUGGUUCUACAGUGAAAUCCGGUCUUGCUGUCACUUAUCGAUGGAUCCGCGCCGCAUUAGCUAGUUGGUAUGGUAACGGCUUACCAAGGCACCGAUGCGUAGCCGACCUGAGAGGGGGAGCGGCCACACUGGAACGGAGGCACGGUCCAGGCGCCUACGGGAGGCAGCAGUAGGGAAGCGGGCGCAAGGGGCGAAAGCUGGACGGAGCAACGCCGCGUGAGGGAAGAAGGUCGUGGGAGCGAAGAACGCUGUUAGGAGGGAAGAACAAAUGGGUAAGGAACUAGGCACGUCGUGACGGUACCUGGACAGAAAGCACCGGCUAACUACGUG
rnacentral:rRNA from 1 species